AGAAAAAAAACCGAGCCAGGAUCAAUUUGAUAUGCGCAUGAGAGGAUGUAGCAAUAUGGCGACAUCAAUCACGUGAGUGGAAGCGAAAAGGAUAUAUUCGAAAUUCGAAUUGGGCUAAUUCGAACAUGUUGUCUCGCUUGCACUAGGAUGCGUUUUAGUGGAUUUUUUGCCACUUGAAUUUUAUUUUGAUGCAGGUCGGACGUGCAUGGUCAGUGUAGUGUUUCUCCAAGUUGAAAAAAACAG